CGUGUAGGCGGUUUGUUAAGUCUGUUGUGAAAGCCCUGGGCUCAACCCAGGAAGUGCACUGGAUACUGGCAGACUUGAAUACGGGAGAGGGUAGUGGAAUUCCUGGUGUAGGAGUGAAAUCCGUAGAUAUCAGGAGGAACACCGGUGGCGAAGGCGGCUACCUGGACCGAUAUUGACGCUGAGACGCGAAAGCGUGGGUAGCAAACA
rnacentral:rRNA from 1 species